rnacentral:tmRNA from 1 species
GGGGGCGUACCGGCUUCGACGUGGAUCGGACGUACCUUGGGGCAUGCCGAGGAGACAGCAACCCUCGUAAAACCUGGCUGUAAAAAGUUAGUUGCCAACGACGACAACUACGCACUGGCUGCUUAAACCCAGCCUGCUCUCUACCGGUUGAGCCUACGCUUCCGAUUAGAGAUCAUUGAGUAGGAUCGCGCAGCUUCGAGUUUCGGGGAGUUGUGUUAAAUCAAACCGCAACUGGUCGAUGCGUAUGCCCUGCCCCUCGGGCGGCGGAUCGAUGAGAAAAAAUCGAGUGGGCUAAGCAUGUAGAACCAAGAUCAGAUGGUUUGCGGACGCGGGUUCGACUCCCGCCGCCUCCACCA